ACGCCCUUUUUAAUAAAAUGGCGGGUGGUAUGAGUGAAUUGGCGAGGCGAAUUUUUUACAUUCAAGAGGAAAGAAAGGCACUUUACGGAGACUUGAAAAGGGCUCAGGAGGACUACGUCAAGUCAAAGAGUUCAUUUGAAUUGUUCCAACAGUCAGUGGCAGCUGCUACUAGCAGCUUCACUUCAUUAUCACAAGAAAUGAUGAAAAUAGAAAAAAUAUUUACUGAAAAUGAUAAAAAUAACGUAUCAGAACUAAUCAAGGGAAUACAAGAACAGGAAAAGGAGAAAUUGGAAUUAUCUGUACAAUAUCAAGUAUCUAUUAUCAGAGGUGAACAGGAUCAGAAAGAUAAUCAUCAUCAUCAUGAUAAUGAAGAUGAUGAUGAUGAUAAUGAACUAGCUACAGUGCAACUGAGGAGACACUGCUGAUUACCUGGGAUUAGGGGGAGGAGCUAGUUUUGGGAUAGUGCCAGGUUUAAUGCCAAAUUCUCUCCUUAAAAAGCACUGGCUCCAUGUUUACAUGCAUAUUAAUAUUAACAACUCUCAGUGUGUGAAGCUGCAAUAGCAUCAUUACUGGAAGACCUAAGAUAUGAAUGUGAAGAACUAUUAUUAACAAAACAUGUUGAUUAAUAUUAUUAAUAUCAUUUAUUGAUUUCUAUUAUGUACAUUCCUGCUAAGCAACACCUGUAUAUAUUUAAAAUAAGAAUAAUAUUCUGUUAAUUAAUACAUUCAAUUAGCAA